rnacentral:rRNA from 1 species
GCAAGUUGAGCGCUGAAGACUGGUACUUGUACCGGUUGGAUGAGCAGCGCAUUGGUGAGUAACGCGUGGGUAACCUGCCCUAUAGAGGGGGAUUUCUAGAGGAAACUUUAGCUAAUACCGCAUAAAAUCUAAUAACACAUGUUAUAAGAUUGAAAGUGCCAACUGGUACACUAUAGGAUGGACCCGCGUUGUAUUAGCUAGUUGGGGAGGGAAAGGCUCACCAAGGCGAUGAUACAUAGCCGACCUGAGAGGGUGAUCGGCCACACUGGGACUGAGACACGGCCCAGACUCCUACGGGAGGCAGCAGUAGGGACUCUUCGGCAAUGGACGAAAGUCUGACCGAGCAACGCCGCGUGAGUGAAGAAGGUUUUCGGAUCGUAAAACUCUGUUGUAAGAGAAGAACACCAGUAAGAGUGGAAAGCUUACUGGCUGACGGUAUCUUACCAGAAAGCCACGGCUAACUACGUGCCAGCAGCCGCGGUAAUACGUAGGUGGCAAGCGUUGUCCGGAUUUAUUGGGCGUAAAGCGAGCGCAGGCGGUUCAUUAAGUCUGAUGUAAAAGGCAGUGGCUCAACCAUUGUAAGCAUUGGAAACUGGUGAACUUGAGUGCAGUAGAGGAGAGUGGAAUUCCAUGUGUAGCGGUGAAAUGCGUAAAUAUAUGGAGGAACACCGGAGGCGAAAGCG